UACGUAGGGGGCAAGCGUUGUCCGGAUUCAUUGGGCGUAAAGCGCGUGUAGGCGGCCAGGUAGGUCCGGUGUGAAAACUCGAGGCUCAACCUCGAGAGGUCAUCGGAAACCAUCUGGCUAGAGUCCGGAAGAGGAGAGUGGAAUUCCCGGUGUAGCGGUGAAAUGCGCAGAUAUCGGGAGGAACACCGGUGGCGAAGGCGGAUCUCUGGACCUUACCUGACGCUGAGGCGCGAAAGCUAGGGGAGCGAACAGG
rnacentral:rRNA from 1 species